UUUUUUUUCUUUUUCAGUUUAUAUUAAGUACAUUAGAACUCUUCAAGAAUUUAUUUCUUUCAAAGAUUUUUUACUUGUUAAUUUUUACUUUGAAGUUGAAGAGGAACAACAACAUGGGUUCAGAAAUUUAUUCUUUUCAUAUCCAUUUUAAAGAUAGGAUUUCUUAUUUUCUUAUUCUUAUAUUCUUGUCUUUUUCCAAUAUUUUCUCUGUAGAUAUCUGUAAAUCUUUCCGAUGUAGACGGAGGCAUACACAAAAAUCUAUUCAAGUAUGAACAGUGCAGAAAAGAGUUUGUGAUAUGACAGGUGACGUGAACACAACUCACUCUCUAAUGUGACAUGGAGUACUAAGAAAAAAUGUUUUUUCAGGGUCUUAAUACGGAAAGUAUUGCAAAUCACUGCUUUGGAGUCUCUACAACAGAUAGAUGCUGAGCAUUGGCACCUGAUCAUUGAGCACAUCUAAACUGCCUGCUUCUUGAAUCUGCAUUUCUUUGCACAGAGAGCCACAGGGAAUAGUAUCCAUGCAGAGUGGACAGUAGUCUGAUGGACGGGGCAUCCUCAUGGAGACACAGGCGCAAAACGUGGGCCUCUUGCUCCUGAGGUAUCAGACAUGUGCAAUCCAUCAAAGAGACAGCCCAAGUGCAGGGUCAGGCACACAAAAUGUAGGCAUUAAGUUCUCUCAAAGGAUAGCUUGAUGAUACAGUCCAGUUCAUUUAUCAUUGAUACCGAGAGAAGACAGUCGUUCCCCAGCACCAGCCACGCUGCACUUUUCUGCCAAAUCCUGAGCUGAUUCAACUCACCAAGAACUGUUGCAGUGACUACAGAGGGAACAGCAGGACAGACAUCCUUUCCCAAGAGGAAAGGGCAUCCCAGCGUGUUAUCUUAACCUGUUGUUGGAGAGAUAACAACGCCGAAGGCUCAGCAGUAGGGGAAGUAAAGAAAGCCACUUCGUUCCAAAAGGCGCUUCUGACAAUGGCAGUUUUAACUAAGGCGGCAGCUGUGAAAUAAUGCUUUCACUGUUUGCAGUGAUCCUAUAUAUCUGGCUGUGGACUCACUGAUAACAUAAUAACAUUUUUCUAUGGUGAAAAAGGAGGCUGGAUAUGUAACUUAACUAUAAAGAAACAUAUCGUGUAUCACACAGUCUUAUUUAGGCAGCUCAGCAAAGGACUUACAUCCAUGUUUAAUCACAUGCUUAUACCAUUAGUAAUGCUAAGGUGCUUAAGCUACUAGCAGCAUGAAGAUGGAUGGACAUGUACUCAAAAAUGAAGCAUAGACUUAACUGCUUUUAAGAAUUCUAGCCUUAAAAUGUUGCUGAUGUUACAUGGAAAUCUUUGGAAACAUUCUGUAUUAUUUGUAGAAACACUUCUAUAGGAAAAAAAAAUUCCUUGCUUUGGAUUUCCUCUUUCAUGUUCCUUUCUUAAAAGCAUUUGCCUGAAAAAACUCCUGAGCUUUUUCUAUUCUACAAAAAUACGUAAAUAAUACUUUAUUUUACAAUGCUUGCUUCUCAAAUUCUGAGCAAUUUGCUCUGAAAAACAGAAGUCAGCGAUUUAGCUGAAAAGGUUCCUGGAACUGCUGAGGGGAAGACCCAGUUUUUCUGUCUUCCCCACAGUGCUUGAGUCACCAGAUCCUACUGCUGCUUUAUUUCAAUUUGUGUUUUUACUGCCAGGAAUAUCUGCAAGCCUCAUGAAGUAAUGCUUCUUCCAUGUUAAGCUAAAAGAUAUAAUGAGCAGAUGUUUCAGACACUGAACUAAAAAUCAGGCUAUUCAGAGAUUUAAUAAAUUUAUACUCUGCUUUCCUUUGCUUCUGCAUGGCUUCUUCAUUUAAAUUAUUCACAUCUUUUAAUUUAAGGGCUGCAUGUGGAAAGAAAGGGGUCUUUGGGAUGAAUUUAAGUCAAUAGAAGGAAAUUAGAUAACAGAACAGAAAAGGGCAAUGUCCCGUACAUAUAAACACACACAAAAAAAGGUAACUAAUAUGGAGUAUCCAUGUUAACCUACUCCAAAACCUGAAGACACUGCACUUUUGAUGAAGACUAGAAUAAAAUCACUAUUGAAAAACUUUCAAGGUUCAGAAGCAUGCAGUCAAUUCAUUAAUUUUUCACAUUGUACAUUUCCAAAGUCCAUCUAGGGCUGAAAGUAGGUGUGCCAAAAUACU